rnacentral:rRNA from 1 species
GUGGAAAUCUAUCCUUGGGUUCGGAAUAACGGUUAGAAAUGACUGCUAAACCGGAUGAUGUCGAAAGAGGAAUGAUUUAUUAAUUGGGGAUGAAACCGGGUAAGAUUACCUAGUUGGUGGGGUAAAGGCCUAACAAGGUUACAAUCUUUAGCUGGUCUGAGAGGAUGAUCACCUGCACUGGGACUGAGACACGGCCCAGACUCCUACGGGAGGCAGUGUGGGGAAUAUUGGACAAUGGGCGAAAGCCUGAUGUGGCAAUGCCGCGUGAGUGAUGAAGGCCUUAUGGUUGUAAAGCUCUUUUACCCCUUUAUGAUAAUGACAGUACCGGGAGAAUAAGCCCCGGCUAAGUUCGUGCCAGCAGCCGCGGAAAUACGGAGCGGGCUAGUGUUGUUCGGAAUUACUGGCUGUAAAACCUGCGUACCCCGGUAAUUCAAGUCUGAGGAAAAAGCCUGGUGCUCAACAUCAGAACUGCAAUUGAUCCCCCCAUUGCUAGACCUGCGGAGAGGUGAGUGGAAUUUCGAGUAUAGAGGUGAGAUUCUUAUAUUUUCGGGAGAACCCCAGUAGGAGAAGGCGGCUCCCUGAACCCCUAUUGACUCUGAGGUACGAACGCGUG